AGAGAGAGAGAGAAAACUCACUCCCAUACUCCACAAAUUCUUCAAUGAGAUUGAAAGGGAAAGAUCACGACCAAACUGUUCUAAGAAGCCAGCAUAACCCUCAUCCCAAAACCAGAUAGGGACUCAAUAAAAAGAG